rnacentral:misc_RNA from 1 species
CCGAGUGAGGGCCCUCUGGGUCCAACCUCCCACCCGUGUUCAUUUUACCUUGUUGCUUCGGCGAGCCUGCCUUUUGGCUGCCGGGGGGCAUCUGUCCCCGGGUCCGCGCUCGCCGGAGACACCUUAGAACUCUGUCUGAAGAUUGUAGUCUGAGAUUAAAUAUAAAUUAUUUA